rnacentral:rRNA from 1 species
CCUGGCUCAGGAUGAACGCUAGCUACAGGCUUAACACAUGCAAGUCGAGGGGCAGCAUUGGAGUAGCAAUACUCAGAUGGCGACCGGCGCACGGGUGAGUAACACGUAUCCAACCUGCCGCUUACUCGGGGAUAGCCUUUCGAAAGAAAGAUUAAUACCCGAUGGUAUAAAGAGUUCGCAUGUUCUCUUUAUUAAAGAAUUUCGGUAAGCGAUGGGGAUGCGUUCCAUUAGAUAGUUGGCGGGGUAACGGCCCACCAAGUCUACGAUGGAUAGGGGUUCUGAGAGGAAGGUCCCCCACAUUGGAACUGAGACACGGUCCAAACUCCUACGGGAGGCAGCAGUGAGGAAUAUUGGUCAAUGGACGAGAGUCUGAACCAGCCAAAGUAGCGUGAAGGAUGACUGCCCUAUGGGUUGUAAACUUCUUUUAUAAGGGAAUAAAGUGAGGGACGUGUCCCUUUUUGUAUGUACCUUAUGAAUAAGGAUCGGCUAACUCCGUGCCAGCCGCCGC